CCAAAGGCUCAGAGCCACAGGCCGUCAUGCAAGUAUAUAUAUAUACACACACACACCAAUCUCAUACAAACCAUGCACGCACGCACACACACACACACACACACACACACACACACACACACACACACACACACACACACACACACACACACACACACACACACACACACACACACACACACACACACACACACACACACACACACACACACACACACACACAGUCAUCACUUCAGGUAACACCUCACCUCUAAUCAAAGGUCUACAAAGGUCUAUAGUACACACACCCCACUCUCAUAAAAACAACACACACAGGCACACACAUUGUAUCAGCAAACCACCCGAAUACCAUUGUGUCACCUACCCAGAGCGCAGUUGUUAGGUGCUCCCCUAAAUGUCUGCAGCACUUCACCUCACCUUCUGAAUGUGUGAGGCACUGCACCCUGACUAAAUGAAAACCAAUCUGAGGAAACCAGGAACAAUCAUAGGCAGGCUCCAGCGGGCUGCCAUAAAAAAGGGCUGCUCCUCGCCUUCAGCCCACUCUAUGGAUCAAUGGGCGGACUGGGAAGCCUCUACAGUACACCCUCCACUGCACCACUGCACCAGGAAACAAGCCAAUAACAAAAGAUGGGAAAACCCUCACACACUGUACAGAGGAUAUUUGAACGAAGCAGAUCCAAGAUUCAUUUCCAGUCAUCUGCCCAGCACAAUUGACCUCAUGACCAUUGACCUCAUGACCUUGGGAUCCUGACCCUUGACCUCUGAUGUUGACCUCUGUCCGGGGGCCUCUUAUUUCCAGGGCCGGCGUCUCCAUUGACUACCUGCCAGGCACCUGCUCAGAGAAAUGAAACAGAGGGGAAUGUCUCUCUGGGGAGCCCUUGGACCCUGCAGACAACGGCCCAGGCUCAAUCCCUGCAUGUGAAUGGGCCUUGAGUGGGCCUGGUAAACCAAUCUCCCUAAUUAUCUAUUGAAAGAACAUUCUUUUUCCUUACAGAGUCAUUACCCUGAUUUCAAUUGCUGAAAAGUAACAUGGAGGGGUAAAGGAAGGGGAGGGAGAAAAACACUCAAAAGAUAGUGUUCCCAAUUUCAUCAAGGUUAAUUGCAGGGGGGAGCAGAUGUCAAAUAUAAAUCCUGGAUAAAGGUGCAGGGGCCACGCAUUGAAGAGGAAUUAAAGAUAAAUAUGAGCUUUUAGCUCCCCGUCAGUACAACACUGAGUGCUGUUAGGGCACAUCAUAGAACCAUUUGACAAACUCCUCAGAGUAUGGAGUCCUGUUUAGGAUGCUGGCACAAAAGCAGUGAACAUGCUUCCUUUAUUGUAUAAAUGUAUAUAUUAUUUUUUGGAGUGGAUUUUAAUUU
rnacentral:lncRNA from 1 species